AGAUCCCGUGUGAGAGAGUGGGGGGGUCGCUUCAAACAAAUCCUUCAGCUCUUGCUGCUGCUGCUGCUGCUGGAAACCUCCCUCCAAAGGCACAAACAGCAAUCAAAAGACAAAUGCCAGCCCUCCAAGAUAGAUGAAACAACGGAAGCCAGAAGGAGAAAACCAGGACGCACCUUGUCCUGGAAAGGGAGCACCCCAGCUCGUCUGCUCCCCGAGGUGGAAUCAGUUGCCAAACGAUCAAGCAUCUCUUGAAGCAGUUUGGUGAAUGGAAAUCCGGCCGACUGCUAGUCCCACUGAUCCAGCCAGGGAAGGCUUCCGAAGAUGCCAAGUUUGCGGCUUGGACCAAGCUUCUGCCCUAGGGGCUGUAUCAGCCAGUGGAUGGUGCCUCCCCUACACGAUAACACGCAACGCCCACAGGGGGCAGCCCACGGUAGCCACACACGUGGCCAUAAGGAGGAGCAAAGGGGCAACUCACGGGGCAGGUUUGCAGACAUGCACCCCAGAUCGCAGAAUCUGAGAGGAAGAACCUAAAUUCUUUAAGCUAUAAUAUAACUUUUGAAUUCCACCACAGUGCAUGCACAGGCUAGUCACUCCCAAACCUAGUUUUUUGACAAGCUUGUCAUGGUGGUGGAAGUGCCACCUUAUGUAGUGAUCUUUUCCAGUGGUUUGUUGAUCGUACUUGUGCAAUAACAAGCGGUCAUCAUAAUCUUUGUUAGACAAUUGUUUGUGUGAGGUAGCAAUAAAGCCAAAUCCCUUACCUUGUUGCCAGUAGGCGUUGGUAUACAAUGCAUAUUUACACCUCUUUUAUGUGGAUACUCCGGCAAGUUUCAAGAGCAGUAAUUAUAGGUUAAUCCAAAAGCAACGGAGCUAAAUGCCUUUCCUGUUAGCCCCUAGUGAUGACUUAAGAUCCACUGUGUGAAGGGCCACUUACAAUCCCAACAUCAGUAUGUUUUGUUUAUGGUUGCAAACUAAUAGAAAUGAUGCUGAAGCGUCGUCCUAAAGAUUGUAAGCUUCGGGUUGACAAACUUGCAGAGAAAUAAAAAAAAAAAAAAAAAAUGAUUUCAUACUUCUACUUGAGUCAAUGAUCUAGAUGGCAAAAUGGUGCAUGCCUCGCCUUUUUGGACGACUGAAACCGCAAGUGCUGUUCAACUUGCUGUUCGUCCGUCUCAUCAAUCGCGGGCUUGUGCGCCUGUGAGCUGACAAACCAUGUGCCCAUUUUGCUGUGCACUAACCGUGUGUUCUUUCUCAUGUCACUUCUCACUUGGAUUUUCAUUUUUGAGCAGUGUUCUAUUCUACUUAGCCAAAAAGGCUUCUUAAAGGGGUAUAGAGAAAAACAAAGCGUUGCAGACUUUGAUGAGUGACACGAGGGGCAAAGUUGCUUAGGUGAUCGCUUGACAAUUUCACCCUCAAAGUCCGAGAGUUUAUUUGGCAGCAAAAAAAAAAACAGCUCGUCCAAGCUGUCGCCAACCUCCUCGUUGUCCUUAAAGGGAUACUUCAGCGAAAUUUGAAAUAUUCCCGUCGUCUUCAAAAAUCGGCUGAAUAUGCGUUAGCGACAUCCACCAGGUGCUCUUUGCUAAUCGUUUCAUUUGUUUUAAAAUUCCUUUUCGUGACUUUUUUAACAAGAUAUUGGUAUGUUCGAUGUGAUAUUGCUCCUUUGAACACAUAUAGACCAAACAAUGAGCGCCGAAAUUUCGUUGUAGUAUCCCUUUAAUACCUUGGUACAGCCGUUGGGUGCCACCACAUUGAGAGCAGGAAAAAACCUGGACACGGCCGAUGGCUCGUCACUAGCAGGGGCGGAUUUAGAGGGGGGUCCGGAUGUCCUGACCUCCCUCUUGGUUUCUGCAUGUGUAAAAUUUAGGGCGUGAAACGAGGGAGGGGGGAGGGGGUUCCUAAACAUAUGGUACGCUGACCAACACCUGACCCCCCCCCCUCAGGAAAUUCCUGCAUCCGCCCCUGGUCGCUAGCACACCCAAGCUCAGAGUUUUUGUAUUCUGAAAUCAGUGGCUUAAUUUGUUUGCAAUAGUGUCAAUUAAUGUCAUCAAUAAUUUUUAAAGAUGUGCAACUUGCAACACCUUGAAGUGCCUUUGCCAUCUACAUCAUUGCAAAAAAAAGCAAAAAGCCUAGCUUGGGGGUGAGAGAGACGGGUUUAUGGUGGGCUGUUUUGUACGCUAUAGUCUGUUGCAACUCCAAGAAGGUAGGGCGAUGGCAAGACGGGCCGGGAAGGAGGAAGCAGACGAAUGCUGGAGAAGAGAGGGGAAACCUCCUCUCUUUAGCAUUCCGUCUGCUUCUUCCUCCCCAGACAGUCUUGCCCUCGCCCUACCUUCUUGAGUUGCAACGGACUAUAGAAAAGUUUUCACUAUAUAAUUUUUUUAUAUUGGGCCUUCCUGAAGCGUUAAGAGAAAAUCUCUCGAUUUUGGGGUUGUCAGUGGCCCUUGAAGGUAAAUGUAUUGCAUGGCACGUUUGUAUCAAUAAAGUUCCUGUAUAUCGGUUGUCCAGGGAACUAAAUAUGCAUGUUCCACUCUUUAGCACAAUCGCUGUGCCACGAC